rnacentral:rRNA from 1 species
AUUGAACGCUGGCGGCAGGCCUAACACAUGCAAGUCGAGCGGAGCGGCGGACGCGUGAGUAAUGCCUAGGAAUCUGCCUGGUAGUGGGGGAGAACGUCCGGAAACGGGCGCUAAUACUGCAUACUAUCAGAUGAGCCUAGGUCGGAUUAGCUAGUUGGUGGGGUAAAGGCCUACCAAGGCGACGAUCCGUAACUGGUCCGAGAGGAUGAUGAGUCACACGGGAACUGAGACACGGUCCAGACUCCUACGUGCGUCAGCAGUGGGGAAUAUGGGACAAUGGGCGAAAACCUGAGGCAGCCAUGCCGCGUGUGUGAAGAAGGUCUUCGGGUUGUAAAGCACUUUAAGUUGGGAGGCGUUACCAACAGAAUAAGCACCGGCUAACUUCGUGCCAGCAGCCGCGGUAAUUC